GUCUCUGUGAUGUGGCGGUAGAGCACGCGUCCCCGGAUAGGAUGAAACGCGGGUUAGAUUCCCGCCUGAGGACG